rnacentral:rRNA from 1 species
CGCCCCGGCAGUUGAUUCGGGCCUAAGCAUCCGUAGCUGGCUAGGUCAGUCCCUUGUUAAAUCCACCGAAUUAAUCGUUGGAUUGCGGGGGAUACUGCUUGGCUAGGGGACGAGAGAGGCAGACGGUAUUUUCGGGGUAGGGGUGAAAUCCUAUAAUCCCGGGAAGACCACCAGUGGCGAAGGCUGUCUGCUAGAACGCGCCCGACGGUGAGGGAUGAAAGCUGGGGGAGCGAACCGGAUUAGAUACCCGGGUAGUCCCAGCUGUAAACGAUGCAGACUAGGUGUUUGGACGGCCACGUGCCGUUCUAGUGCCGCANGGAAGCUGUUAAGUCUGCCGCCUGGGGAGUACGAUCG